ensembl:lncRNA novel transcript
ACAGUGGGACCCGCGACCUGCCGUGGUCUCAGGCACUGGAGGACACCUGCAACGCCGUGCGCUAGACUAUGCUACUGAAGGACCUCUACCGCGGCUCAGCCCUGGACUAAGGCACCGGAGGAUCCCCGCCCUGCCCCGCCCCGCGGUGUCCUGGACUGUGCACUGCAGAACCCCCACCCUUCCACACCCUGGACUCUGGCUCCCGAGGACCUUGGCCCCGGCUCGCCCUGAACUACUCCUGCCCCUCAGCGCCCUGGACUGUGGUUCCAGAGGACCUGGUCCUGGGGCAACUUGUGCUACCGCGUGGACUCCAGGACCCCAGUCCUUCCACGCCCUAGACCAAGACACGGGAGAACCUCUGACUCGCCGCCCCCGAACUAGGGCACCAGAGGACCCACACCUUGCCGUGCCCCGGACUACAGCACGGAAGGACCCCCGAUCCGCCGGGCACUGGGCUCCUGCACAGAGGGACCCCCGCCAUGGAGGUCUGGACUACCCCUGCCCCACCGCACCCUGGACUACUGCACGCCAAGACCCUCGCCUGAACACGCCCUACACUCUGGCAUGGGGGAACCCGGCCCCGCAGAGCCCUGGACUCUGGCAUUGGAGGACUCCUCGGCUAGGUUCUGGACUCCUGCACCAGAGGACUCCUGCCCUGCCACACCCUGGACACCUGCACUAGAGAACCCUGCCCCGUCGCCCCCUAGACUAUGGCACGGGAGGACCCCUGCCACCGACUUCGGCACGGUAAGACCCCUGACCCGCCUUGCACUGGAUUCCAGCACUGGAGGACCCCCUGCCACGGCGCUCUCUGGACUACCCCUGCGCCACCGCGUCCUGCACUACAGCACAGCAGGACCGCCGUCCCACCGCGCACUGGACUGAGGCACAGCAGCACCCGGGCCUCGUGGUUGGUGGACCGCAGGACGAGGUGACCCCCCGCCCCGCUGCGCGUUGGACUAUGGCACAGGAGGACCACCAUUCCCGCAUGCCCUGGACCACUGCAGGACAGGUCCCCCACUCCGCAGCGGCCUGGAAUAUGGCACUGCAGGACCCCCGCCCUGCUGCUCCACGGACUCCACCACUGAAGACCCUCGCCCCCCUGCACCCUGGACAAAGGCACGGGAGGACCCGGCUUCACCGCCCAGUGGGCUAUCGCAUAGGAAAACCCCCAGCCCACCCCCAUCGCGCCAGAGACUCUGACAAGAGAGAACCCCUGCCCCCUGCUCCCCGGACUACAGCAAGGCAGGAACCACCCUCCUCCAGGAUCCUCACUAUGGCAACUGUGGAACCCCGCCCUGGUACGCCCUGGACUAAGUCACCGAAGGACCCCGACCCCACCACACCGUGAACUCCAGCACUGGAGGACCAUUGCCUUACUGCGGACUCAAGCACUGGACUAUCGCAGGGCUGGAUCCCUGUCCCGCCAUGCCCUACACUAUGGCACGGGAGGACCCAGCCUCACUGAGCUCUGGACUCCAGCACCGGAGGACACCUACACGGAGGACUCCUGCUCCGCCACGUCCUGGACUCCUGCACAAGAGAACCCCCGCCCCGCGGCACCCUGGAUAUAGCAAGGCAGGAAUCCCGCCCUGCAGUGUUCUGGACUGCGGCACCUGAGAAUCCAUGCCCCACCGCGCCCUGGACUGCUGCUCCACAGGACUCCUGUUCCACUGCACCCUGGACUAUGGCACCAGAGGACCCAGCUCCCGGCAGCCUGGACUAUGGCACCAGAGGACCCAGCCCCUCGCAUCCUGGACUAUGGCACCAGAGGACCCAGCCCCCUGGCGUCUUGGACUAAGGCACAGUAGGACCCCGCAGCAUCGUGUACUCCUGCACAGGAGGACCCUCGCAGGGCUGCGUCCUGGACUGAGCUACUGAAGGAGCCUCACCCCUGCCUCACCCUGGUCUAAGGCACUGGAGAACUCUUGCUCCGCAGAGCUGCGGACUCUUGCACGAGAGAACCUGCGCCCAGCCGUGCCCUGGACUGUGGCACAGUAGGGCCCACACCGGGCCAUGGACUCCUGUACUGGAGGAAGAGUGGUGAUAAAUGUCCAGGUUUACAAGUUGAAAAGUAGCAGUCAAUGUGCUACAAUGGAUGGAUUUGAUGUAAAAUUACAAAUGCUGAAAACAUUAUGUGUAAUUGCCUAGCCAGAUCAACUACACAAGACAAAGAAAUAAAAGAAAUCCAUAUAGGGAA